rnacentral:misc_RNA from 1 species
GGAGUUAAAGGCAGUUGAUUGUCCACUUGAAUACCCCUCAUUCUUACUUUUAACCUGCUAACUCCAAACCCCAAUCCUGUUGAAUAUGAGAGCACAAGACUCUGCACCGACAGAUAUAGUAUCUCUUCUGGCGUAUGAUCAAUAACUGAUAAUCCAAGCUCCGCGACCUCAACAAUGACAUGGAAUUCACUCUCUGAGUUGGAAAGUGUUUGCUCUGACACAGAACUACUUCCAGAAGAGGGUAACAAAGAAAGACUUCUAUUCAAAAUUGAGUAGGUUGCAUUUUCAGGCAUCCAAUCACUGAUUUUGACUACAUUAACUUUCUCUUCCUUUUGGAUUAUAACAUGUAAAGCUUUCUUUGGUCCUCCAGAAACAUGGAUGGGGUGAUGAUCAAAUAUCUCAUCAAUAUUAUAAGUCAGUGAUGCAGCAGGAUCAGAUCCAUCAAUCACAACUUCCAACAAUCGUCGGCGACCAAGAUCUUCCCAGGAAAAUGAUGCUGAAGCAUUGGGAGGAAGAAAUUUCCAUGAAUCGUUAGCACCAUCGACUUGCCGGAAACGUAUAGGAAAAAACAAUGAGCGAUUUUCGACCCUGUAAGGACUGGUGAAGGAAUUGGGGCGAAGUAUAAUUUCAUAGCGGGAACUUUU